UACGUAGGGUGCGAGCGUUGUCCGGAAUUAUUGGGCGUAAAGGGCUCGUAGGCGGUCUGUUGCGUCAGGAGUGAAAACUCGGGGCUUAACCCCGAGCCUGCUUCUGAUACGGGCAGACUAGAGGUAUGCAGGGGAGAACGGAAUUCCUGGUGUAGCGGUGAAAUGCGCAGAUAUCAGGAGGAACACCGAUGGCGAAGGCAGGUCUCUGGGCCGAUACUGACGCUGAGGAGCGAAAGCGUGGGGAGCGAACAGG
rnacentral:rRNA from 1 species